UACGGAGGGUGCGAGCGUUGUCCGGAAUCACUGGGCGUAAAGGGCGCGUAGGUGGCGUCGCAAGUCAACGGUGAAAGCUCGACGCUCAACGUCGAGUCGGCCGUCGAGACUGCGAGGCUUGAGCACUGUAGAGGCAGAUGGAAUUCCGGGUGUAGCGGUGGAAUGCGUAGAGAUCCGGAAGAACACCGGUGGCGAAGGCGGUCUGCUGGGCAGUUGCUGACACUGAGGCGCGGACAGCGUGGGGAGCAAACAGGG
rnacentral:rRNA from 1 species